CCUACAGGUCUUCCAGUCAAUUCCUUAUUUUAUCACGGUUUUGAUGUGGAGUUUUUGAAUGUUCAUCAACCUUUAACAACCACGUCUUCCAGUUCUUGAUGUGAAUUUGACAUCUUUUGGUGGUCCGUGCAAGCUGUUUUUGAAGUUCUAUGUCGCUGCUAGCUUCCAGAUGUUUUUGGACAAUAGUAGUGCACUUGGAGACGGAGCUAGCGCUAUAGCUGAUGCAGUUGGGUAGGAAGGAUAAAGAGCAAUGCCACACUGACCUUCUGGGCGACCAGCAUUUCUAGGAAUUCUCAUGUGUAGCCAUUUUCAUCCCAUCUUUCUCCCCACGAGUUCUUCACUAACCAAUAGUCGGUACCAUCUUCAGUGGUUUCAUAGCCAAGAAUUGUAACAGUAUGAGUAAGGUUUGUCCCACACUCGCUCACCGGAGAGUACCCCUCCCGCGUGUGCCUUAAGGGCUUCUCCAUUGGUCUCAAUGGCAACCAAGUCUGGCUGUUUGGCCACAGCCUUGAGCAGGUCGCUUUCGCUAUUGCAAGGAACCAAUUCAAAACCAGUUAUUUCGACAACAUGCUCAUUUGUUUUUGGUGGUGUCACAUGUUUAUCUUAUCUGUACCGGUGUAUGGGUAAUUUUCUUCGGAGGUGAUUCCUCCAUUUUGUUCUAUGUAUUAAAGGCAUCUUCUUGGUUACAGUUGUACUGAUCUUUGUUACAGUCCACAAGUUGUUGCUUGCA